GGCCCUUUAGCUCAGUGGUCAGAGCAGGCGGCUCAUAGUCGCUGGUUCAGGUCCAGCAAGGGCCACCA
rnacentral:tRNA from 1 species